rnacentral:rRNA from 1 species
UACAGAGGUCCCAAGCGUUGUUCGGAAUCACUGGGCGUAAAGGGCGCGUAGGCGGCGGUUCAAGUCGGUGGUGAAAUCCUGGAGCUCAACUCCAGAACUGCCUCCGAUACUGGGAGCCUUCGAGUCCGGGAGAGGUGAGUGGAACUGCGAGUGUAGAGGUGAAAUUCGUAGAUAUUCGCAAGAACACCAGUGGCGAAGGCGGCUCACUGGCCCGGUACUGACGCUGAGGUGCGAAAGCGUGGGGAGCAAACAGG